rnacentral:rRNA from 1 species
GUAUAUUAAAGUUGUUGCAGUUAAAAAGCUCGUAGUCGGAUGUCGGGCUCGGGCAGGCUGUCGGCUUCGGUCGGACGGCAGGCUCGGGUCUUUCUGCCUGAGGAUCCCGUGCACUUUAUUGUGGGCGGGGGACGCAGGCCGUUUACUUUGAAAAAAUUAGAGUGUUCAAAGCAGGCCUACGCUUGAAUACAUUAGCAUGGAAUAAUGGAAUAGGACUUUGGUGCUAUUUUGUUGGUUUAUGGGACCGAAGUAAUGAUUAACAGGGACAGUUGGGGCCGUUUAUAUUUCGUUGUCAGAGGUGAAAUUCUUGGAUUUACGAAAGAUAAACUUCUGCGAAAGCAUUCGGCAAGGAUGUUUUCAUUGAUCAAGAACGAAAGUUAGGGGAUCGAAGACGAUCAGAUACCGUCGUAGUCUUACCAUAAACUAUGCCGACUAGGGAUCAGUGGAUGUCAAUUUGCGACUCCAUUGGCACCUUGUGAGAAAUCAAAGUUUUUGGGUUCUGGGGGGAGUAUGGUCGCAAGGCUGAAACUUAAAGGAAUUGAC